rnacentral:rRNA from 1 species
UGAGGAAUAUUGGGCAAUGCCCGCAAGGGUGACCCAGCAACGCCGCGUGGAGGAUGAAUGUCGGAAGAUUGUAAACUCCUGUUAGAGGGGAAGAAUAGUACCGGUUGGACCGGUAUAUGACUGUACCCUCAGAGAAAGCCCCGGCUAACUACGUGCCAGCAGCCGCGGUAAUACGGAGGGGGCAAGCGUUGUCCGGAUUUACUGGGUGUAAAGGGCGCGCAGGCGGGAUAAAAAGUCCGUGGUGAAAUCCUACAGCUUAACUGUAGAACUGCCUUUGAUACUUUUAUUCUUGAGUUCGGGAGAGGGAGGCGGAAUUCCAGGUGUAGUGGUGAAAUACGUAGAUAUCUGGAAGAACACCAGUUGCGAAGGCGGUCUCUUGGUCCGACACUGACGCUGAGGCGCGAAAGCGUGGGGAGCAAACA